CCUGUGGCACCAACCCCGCAGGGUCCUGGCUGGAGGGUCUUGCCCCUGCACUCAGGCUCAGACCGAUGCUGCACUGGGGCAGGACGGGAUUUUCCCCCUGCUCAGACCAGUCGCAUAGGGCAGUUUUGCCUUCUUCUGCAGCGGGGGCACGGCCUUGGCCUGGGCUGUCUGGAGCAUCUACUAACUCCUCCUUGAGCGCUGCAA